CGGACAUUUUCUACCAGACUGUUGAAAGGAUGGAUGAUGUUAAAGAAUCGGAGAAACAAGACGUUCCCCGCAGUCUAUUCCAUCGAAGUGUGUCCAGGACCCCAACAGGGCGCUGCAGUGUGCUUUUUGUAAUUCUGGCUUAUGAGACAGAUGGCCCUCUGGAAGCUGUGGCACUUUGUGUCUGCCUGGCAUGGGUUUUCGACCUUCAGUACUUCGUUAAAUAUUUUUGCACAUUUGUUUGUUUAGAGAGACUUGUAGGUCUCAAACAUUCAACGCUGGGCUGCAUGGACACAAGGCUGUUGACCAUCCUAAAUU